GACCUAGGCUCUCGCAGAGAACUGCAUCGCGCUCCCAGCUCUGCUGCCUCGGUGCGGGGACGGGGCUCUGCAUGAGGACUGGGAAUUGAUCUCAGAGGCAUGGUCUUAACACCGCGCACAGUUCCUUGCAAGUUGAAGAGUAGACCCAAAUGAUCAGUUCUAAAAUUCUAUUCUUAUUGAAGAUUACUGGUGGAAAUAUCAAUGCAAACAAAAUGAAAAAGUUCAACAAUGAUUAAUACUGCAUUUCAACAGAAGAAUCAAAUCAUCUUGACAAAACUUCAAUGGGCAAAAUUUGCCUUGGGGAAUUUUAUGCAGGGGAAUCCUUGGGUCUGAUGUGUGGUGGGCUUUGGAUGUGUUGUGUAGCUCAGUGUCCCUUCCUGCUACUCCUAGUCAUCUCCAGAAACUCAGACCACCCAUCUACUAAAGGCAGGUGGAUGAGCAAGGGGGCCUCGGAGGCAUUCCGGAUCACACUGAACCUGAGCCCCACCGCCUGACCCACUCAGUGUCACUGUUAACAGAAACUCGCUGCCAUCUGGCCUCAGGCCUGCCUCCUUCCUAUAGAACUUGACACUGGAAGCACCAGGCGAGCUGGACCUUCUGCUGCUACUGCACUCCCAUGAUGCAGCCUGAGAAUGAAGCCCACCAGAGUGACAGAGAGCAGACCUGAGUGGUGAGCUGGUGACACAGGGUGUGGGUGGUGUCCCUUGAGCUUCGACACCACGCCACACCUGAAACCAGCCUGACAUCCAUGAUUUUGCUUUUUUGCUUAAACCAGUCUGCGUCAUUUUCAACAAAAGAGUUCUACUAGAUAUGACAAAUUUCUCUAGAAGACCUAAGAAGUGAAAGACUUGAAGCUAUUCCAGUGGUUCAGGAACUAGGACACUGGUAGGAAACUGGAAAGAAGGCAUCAGAGUUAAGGAAAUAUUUAUGAGGUCAACUCUGGAAGUCUUGGUUACUGAGUGAAUACAGUGGCUGAGAGGAAUGGAAGCAUCCAACCAAAUAAAAAAAGAUGGUGCUGAGAUUUGGGUUAUGAGGUCAAUGACUGAAGCAAUGCGAUUAACUGAGUUAGGAGUCUCAAAUAUAGGAUGAGUGCAGAGUUGAGGAUGAAGAAUUCUGCUUUGGACACAAUGAGUGUGAGGUGCCCAAGGAUAACCCAACGGGAAGCAGUCACACCAAAGCAACAGGGUGUGCACCUGAAACUCAGAAGGGUGAUUGGGCUAUGGUGAAGAUUCCUGAUCACCCAUAAAUGAAUUCAUUAAAAGCAUGAGAGUGAGUGGAGGGGCCCCUAGAAUAUGGUGGGUGCAUGAGACUAACCCUAGAUUGGGGAUAGCUCCCUGGGAAAUCCAAGGGACAAGGUGAGGAGGAGGAGGCGGAGCCCACCAAGGAAACUAGAAAGAGACCGCUGGAGAGGUCCGAGGACAGCAAGGAGCACAGCCUUCAAGUCUGGGAGCCAACUAUCCAAGAAGAGAGUGGUUUGCUAUGGAUGCCGUGGGCCACCACGUCCCAUCUAGGAAAGCAAGUUGAGGUCUCUCUUGAAUACAUUGGGAUUGAUUACCCAGACUUUAAAGAAUCUAUGUCCCCUACUUCCCUUCAUUCACUCUGCUCUUUACCUUCUCCUCUUCCCUGGUCACCAGCACCUCUGCUAAAGGGUGGAGAAAGGAACUUCUGAUCAGUUACAGAAAAGCUUUGGGGUUACGUGGUGCAAGCUGCUCUGCCUCUGUUUGUGAAGAAAUUAGACUAUGGCCAGCCAUGUGAGUGGCAUCACUUUGGUUUCUGGAGCAAUAGUUAGUAGCAACUUUUAGAGGUGGUCAUUUCGGUUCCCUUCUGGAAAGUGAUUCGUGUUUAAGAAAAAUAGAUGCAACGUUGCUAAGUACACCUAACAUUUAAACAGUCUCCAGCAGAUAAAUGCUGAUACUGACACUUCUCACCAGAAAAAGAGAAAUACCCAUCAUGAGGAAGAGAAAUGACUUUUGUUCAGUUAUGCUCCCGGGUCCCCUUUCACUGGAGGGAUAUCUCAGCUUUCUGAGCCCCUGGUUACUGCAAUCCUCGGUUCCAGAACCCAGCAAUUCCUAUCAUCACAAUUGUUUCAAGUCUUAUCCAAGCCCUGUAUAUUUCAGAUCAUCCUUAAUUUCUUGUUCUGUACCCAGAGGAGAUCAGGAAAACCUUUAAGUCUCUAUGUGAGGCAAAUACAUCCUCCUCACUGCCCCAGCCCCAUGUGAUUGAUGAAGCAACUGAGGAAGAGAAGUAGGGUGCUUCUGGCACUGGAGGAGCGCAGUGCUGAGAAACUCCGGGCUCCAUUCGGAAAUAGCACUGAUUUCUUAGUGUACUUUUUUUUGGUGUUAAUAUAGAAAACAUCAAAAACACAGUUAAAAGAAUGAAGCAUGUCUACAUACGUGUGGCCAGAAAGACUGACCAGAAGCUGGUAGCAGUGAGGGAUGACAGUGCUUGCCCCUGGGUUGAAUAGUGGAAGAGUUAGGGGGGAAACAGUCUGC
ensembl:lncRNA LINC00092 long intergenic non-protein coding RNA 92